UGCAACGCAGGAAAAGUUUAUGGAGCAGCACCGGAAAAGGACAAACUGCCGGAGAGCAUCGGAACAUCCAACGCCAUCGAAUUCCACCGCAAGUGGAAACUUGUUCAUCUCAGCUGGACAGAUUGUUCCGCUAAGCAUCGUUCUCGCAUGGUUUUAAUUGGUUCGUCGCACCGCUGCUGGAAGUGUUGCAUUCCUCUUGAAGGACUGCUUCCUCCAAACGGGAUGUUGUUGCUGUGGGUGCCGCGGCCGUUCAACAUGCGUCGGGACAAUGUCGAUGGGUGAUCGAUGUUCCGCUGGUCAAAGGCUGGUGCUAGGAGUACUGCUCGUCGAGAAAUCAGUUGAAAUCUUCUUGGUUACGUGCUGAACGCGUUCAAAUACCCCAAAGCCGCAGGUGCAGAAGAAGCAGUACCAGUUCCGUUCGCUCAGCGCGACUCAGUUCUUCCAAGCAUCGACUCUGCCUUGUAUAAUUUGCUUAACCUGAACAGUUUUCAUUUGGAUCGCGAUUUUAAUGUAAAACUUAUAAAGACGUUUACUAAAAAGGAUUGUGAGGUGCGAUUCGUAGAUGCUUGUGCCGGGGAAUUGUGCUUUUAUUCAUCAUGCGCAAAGUCAAGUUGUGAAAUAUAAUAAAUAUAAAUAAAAAAUCUAUUCUAACAUGAUAGCGAGAACAUCACUUAAACAAUAAUUUUGUAUAUUUAUUAUUAUUUUUUCAUUAAGCAUAUUUUUUAGAUAAAGGGCAAGUACUUGUACUUCGACUGACACCGAUACCGAAUGUGGGGUGACCUGUUAAGUUUCAGUAGAAGCGGUUUGCUCCUUGCCGAAGCUCAAUUCCAUAAGCAGCUUCUAGGAUGAUGUCCAAGUUCUUUGACGCAAUCGCGAAGAAAAAUCAGAGAGAGAACGUUGCCAGCGAGGACGUGCUGUGCACCUGAGCCGGCGCCGGUUCGGUAUUGAUGAGAUAAUUGUUGCUGAUUUGUUCGAACAUUUGAUAAAAAAGUUUUUUUGCGGCACCUCUUUUUGACGAACAUUUCUGUUGCCACCUUUUGGUUCCUUGGAUUAGCCAUGGAUAUUUUCAUAGUGUAAUAGUGAGUUAUCUAAGCCCGAGCUCACGCACACUAGCACUCCAUUUGUUUUGCUGGCGGGUACAAAAUUUAACCUCAAUGUUUUUCGUGUACGUUCACGCAAUACAUGCGCACGUAGAUAACUCUAUGAACAGGGCAGCUACCACCACGCAGCGCCACCAGCGUAAAAGAGCAUCUUUUAUUACGUAACGCUGUUGGUGGUGUAGGUUGAGGGGGUGGGAGGUUCGAACGAGUUAAGUAUUUUUUUUGAAAUUUGUAUGGACAUUUUAAACGAAGGGGGAGGGGAUCAAAAAUCCAAAUUUUAGCGUUACGUAAUAAAAGAAGUGUACCUAAAUGAGCAGGCAUUCGUUGGUUGGUUUCUAGCCGAGUUCUAACACAGUUUCCAUUUUCUUAUAGAAUGGUCCUGGGUUCGAUACCCAUCUGCUUCCAACGAGAAAGUUCUGGACUCAUUGAAUUUGGAAAUUAAUGAAAAACAUGAAGCUCACGGCGGGGUUCAAUCCCCUGUCCUUAGGAUUGGCAUACAAAAUGCUUUCCACUUUACCGUGGAGCAUUGGUAGCUUCAGUAGGACUUAGACUGAUAUAGUUGAAUCCAAGAAACGGACGAGAAUAAAGUUGAAUGCAAGUUGAAUAUCAGAACAUACAAGAAUGCAUUGAAUUGCAUGCAUGCAGGCGC